GAUGAACGCUCGCUACAGGCUUAACACAUGCAAGUCGAGGGGCAGCAUGAUUGAAGCUUGCUUCAAUCGAUGGCGACCGGCGCACGGGUGAGUAACACGUAUCCAACCUGCCGAUAACUCGGGGAUAGCCUUUCGAAAGAAAGAUUAAUACCCGAUAGUAUAGUAUUUCCGCAUGGUUUCACUAUUAAAGAACUUCGGUUAUCGAUGGGGAUGCGUUCCAUUAGAUAGUUGGCGGGGUAACGGCCCACCAAGUCAACGAUGGAUAGGGGUUCUGAGAGGAAGGUCCCCCACAUUGGAACUGAGACACGGUCCAAACUCCUACGGGAGGCAGCAGUGAGGAAUAUUGGUCAAUGGACGAGAGUCUGAACCAGCCAAGUAGCGUGAAGGAUGACUGCCCUAUGGGUUGUAAACUUCUUUUAUACGGGAAUAAAGUGGAGUAUGCAUACUCCUUUGUAUGUACCGUAUGAAUAAGAAUCGGCUAACUCCGUG
rnacentral:rRNA from 1 species